rnacentral:lncRNA from 1 species
GUCAAAUAGUGUUAUUCUUCCGAGAAGGAAUUAUGCAACAUCUGUAAAUAAAUACUUUAAUCUAUUUUACAAACUAUAGACUAUUGAAUAAAUACAAAAAGUUUCGUCAUUCCAUACAAAUGCAUUUCUUUUAUGUAAAAGGUAGUCUGGUGAUUAAAUACUUUUAGCACAAAACUAAGCUGAGUUCCUGGAACCAAAACCCACUGAAACAUACAGGUGUGUAGCAGACCUGCUGCAGACUGUCCCUUCUCUUCUGCAAGUGGUGACUGCAAGCGCUACUCAAAGUCCUCUUCAUAGUCAUAUUCAUCCAAGUCUACAUCAGCCAGAUGGGAAGGCAUUUCAAAGAACGGUCUUUUUUCCAUUUGAUACUUCAGGACGUUGGCCUUCUGAUGGUCUACAGGAUUCAGUUCAGCUUCAUACCCAUCAUUCCACUGGUCACUUGCUGCCUCUUCUGCUACCAAGAUG